GAGGGUAUAGCUCAGUGGUAGAGCGCACGCUUAGCGUGCAUGAGGUCAUGGGUUCGAUCCCCAGUACCUCUG
rnacentral:tRNA from 1 species